GAGAGAACAGACAGGAUACAAUGGCAUUGCCCUGAGAAGGCUUUUUAUCUGGCUGAGGCAAGGACUUAGAGACACAGGUAAGCAACAGUCAAGUACAAAACAGCACAUGGUUAGGUGCCAGGUGAGUGAGGAGACCAGAUGGACAUUUCAGGUACUCCAUGUAAAGACACUGGCAAUUUCUGAAGCUCCUUGUGGCCCCAAGAGGCCCAAAAGCUGUCUCAAUCUGGGAAGACACCAAAUCUGUAUGAUCUCUCCUUUUUCCUUAACCCCACUUCUCAGGUCCUCCUCUCAGCCCUGUUCCUUCCUGUCCCCAAAGCUCUGCCUUAUCCUCUUCCCCUCUAACCCAGUGCUGUCCAAUGGAGAUAGAAUGUGAGCCAUGUAAGUAAUCUUAAAUUGUGUAACACACAUAUUAAAAAGAGAAACAGGUGAAAUUAAUCUUAAUAUAUUUAAUUCAACCCAGCAUAUUCUAAAUGAAAUUAUUUCAUCAUGUAAUCAAUAUUUUAAAAAUGAUUGAGAAUUGUACAUUCUUCACAUCAAGCUUUCAAAAUCUGGUGUGUGUUUUAUCCUUACAGCACAUCUCAAUUCAGACCAGCCACACUCCAGUGCUCGACAGCCACCUGUGGCUCACGGCCUGUACUGGACAGUGCAGCUGGAACCCAAUGGAUGAUUUUUUAAGGUCCCACUUAUGUCCCUCACUCAUCUACAGGCUCCAUGAAGUCAGAUAUCAAACAUUUCCAUUGCUACAUUCUCCAGGCCUAAUCUGCAUCCUCCCAGAGUGGCUCUUCAGUGAACAUCUACUGAAUUGAACAGACAUGCACAGAGCAGAUGGACAGCACUAGGGACUUGUCCUCUGGCCCCAGAGGCCCAUGAAAGAGUAUCCAGGCAGGCUGGACUAUGCUGGGAAGGGGGAAGGCCUGGGCCCUCAUCGAAAGGGAAGGACCCCAAAAGGAAGAGAAACCCAUCAACAUCCUGUUAACUAAACGGAGAGAAAUGCUGUUUAGGGGAAAAAAAAAAAAACAUAAUAAAUAAAAUUCCUGAGAGAAGCUGCUAAGUCAGGGAGCACCACACUCAUCCCCUUCUGCAAGAGAAUGAGAAGAUGGAGCUACAGCUCCCGUCCCACAUCAGCAUCUGGUGUGGCCUUCCCGCCACGGGCCAUGGGUCGGACCUGGCUCCACAGACAAAGGGGCUGCUUAGGCUGGGCUUGAAAUAGGCUGAGUGAAAACCUGCGAGCCCCUGGCUGCUUCCCUGUGCAUGGAAAGGAGCUGUUGGUGAGUAUGGAGAUCUCUGCCCUUGUCAGAGGAAGGCUUCCUCAUCACAAGGCAGGGCAGGUGUCUGUGCCCAAGAGCUGAGCAGAGAACAAGCAGCCAGUGGAGGCUUUCGCCUGAACUGUGCAAUCCUUACCUGAUUGGGAAGUGCAAGUGACAAUUAAUAAAUUAAUAGCGAGUCACUUUAUGUAAAUACCUCUCUUUUUGUACACUAUAUUUAGAGAAACAAACUGCUUUGGCAUUUAGAGAUAAAUUUUAUGUAAGAGUUUAUUGCUGCUUCUGCUGUUGUUACUGUUCAUCAUCCAGAUAAUAAAAGCAAA
rnacentral:lncRNA from 1 species